rnacentral:rRNA from 1 species
CCCGCUGAACUUAAGCAUAUCAAUAAGCGGAGGAAAAGAAACUAACAAGGAUUCCCCUAGUAACGGCGAGUGAAGCGGGAUGAGCUCAAAUUUAAAAUCUGGUAGCCUUUGGUUGCCCGAGUUGUAAUCUAGAGAAGCGUUUUCCGUGCUGGACUGUGUACAAGUUUCCUGGAUACGGAACAUCAUAGAGGGUGAGAAUCCCGUCCUUGACACAGACUCCCAGUGCUUUGUGAUGCGCUCUCAACGAGUCGAGUUGUUUGGGAUUGCAGCUCAAAAUGGGAGGUAAAUUCCUUCUAAAGCUAAAUAUUGGCGAGAGACCGAUAGCGAACAAGUACCGUGAGGGAAAGAUGAAAAGCACUUUGGAAAGAGAGUGAAACAGUACGUGAAAUUGUUGAAAGGGAAACGCUUGAAGUCAGUCGCGUUGACCGAGACUCAGCCUUGCCUCGGCUUGGUGUACUUCUCGGCUCGACGGGUCAGCAUCAAUUUUGCCCCUCGGAUAAUGGCAAGGGAAAGGUGGCACCUUUGCGGGUGUGUUAUAGUCUCCUGUCGCAUGCGAGGGGUGGGAUUGAGGAACUCAGCGCGCACCUUGGUGUCGGGGCUUCGGCCCACGUCACGCGCUUAGGAUGCUGGCGUAAUGGCUUUAAACGACCCGUCUUGAAACACGG